CACAGGCGCAGCAGCCCCGAUAUGGUGGGGUGCCUGGUGCCUGUGGGGUGCCUUCCCUCCAAGCUAGGGCCUCCUGGAGAGACGACAGGAAGAGGGAAAAGUCACUGCCUAGCAGAGCAGAUGAAAAAUACUGCUGACACGCAGCAGGUGAAAACCAAGUCGAGAGCUGACCUAUUUCCAGCUCUCCCGUUGCAGGGUGCUCUCUGAUAGACAAGAACCUUUGUUACUUGUUACAGGGUCAACUUCCAGCCCUAAGCAGCCGUUUUAGCACGUGAAUGGAGAGUCCCUGCCUCAAAGAGUUUAUAGUCUGGAGCCUGGGACGUUUCGUUCUUCACCUUCCUCAAGAUCCUGCUCAGAUCCUCCCUGUAAUCUUGCCAUCUCUCUUUGCGACAUUGCAGCUCAGCCACACCCUGGAUGACGCACUGCCAUUUCUUAGCUCAUUAUGUUGUGUGGCUGCAAGUCCUGCUGCAAAACCAGCAUGGAAAGAAACAACACGCAGAAAUAACAAAGCUAGUCCAGCCUCAAAGGUGGAUAAGCAGCUACUGUGAGUCACACCUUAAUUUCACCAUAAAGUAACCUUGCAAUUCAUGCUCUGAGAUGCUGAUUUUUAUUUUUAAAACUCUAAACAGUACUAGACAGAGAGAAACAAGAAAAAUAAGUGACUAUUUAAACAGUGCCAGAGGAGCACUGAGAAAGAAGUGUCCUUAGCCUUCCAUUAGAUGAAUGUGAUAAGCUUAGCACCUGUAGGUGAGUGUGAUGGACUUUGUAUUUGUGCCUCACCUAAACCUUUGAAGAAAUGGCACCAAGCCCUCUAUCACCUGAUUAUUUUGCCUUUAUUUUUGCUUUUUUUGAGUUCUAUUCAAUCUCCCCCAUGAGAACAAAAUCUAACCCCACCAGCCUCGUGGCUAGACAGGCUCGAACAGUUCCUAUCUUGGGGAGGACACUUUGCGAUGUGCUGCAGCUGGUUUGUGUCUUUCUUAGCUCAGUUACACGGAUUACUUACUCAAACUGAAAUCAGUGGGUGAAUUUGCUUAAUCCAAGUCUGCUGACCUGACAUUCAGUUAAGCUAACAGCCUCCAGGCAGAAAAAAGAUUCCUCAGCACAGCUGACAGACUGCAUAUGACAGGGUGACAUUUAUAUGCCUUAUCUCUAGUCUGGACAUACAAGCGCUCUCCAUCGACCUUCACAUUCACAUACACAGAAAGCUUACUUCAAAUGAUCAGUCCAUCCUUUCCUAUAGCUUAGCAAGAAGGCAAAGAGAGAGAGGGAGUGUUAUUAUUGGGAGGAGUGCGGGCAUUAUGGUGAUGGCGAUCUAGAUAGUGAGACAUGUAGGUACUAGAAAAGUUCCAGGCAGCUCUUGUAGGACUAGACUGGGACUUCAUAAACCCUGGCUCCAGCCUACUCCUCAGUAUGGACUUCUUGCAUUAGGACAAGUCGCUUUCUGGAUGUGCCUCACCAAUAUUUGUUAAUCUCAUUCAUCAAAAGAUCUGCCAUUUCUUAUGCUUCUGACAUGAAAUCACAUGAAAUUCGGUAAGUUUGAGUCUUGGUACAAAACAGAAACCACAAACCCACAAAAGAUAAGAGAGUGAUCUAAAACAUUGACUGAACCGUUGGCUGUAGGAAGGAAAUGAAGCUAUAAUGGAAAAAAGAAGGAAAGAUCAGUCCCUAUUGGAAGAGGAACUGAGGAGGGAAGGUGGCUGGUGAGUGUUUUGCCCCCUCAGACCAGUGGCUGGUUGCUUUCAUUUCCAUUGUGUCCCUUUGUCGUUCCUGCCCUCAGCACUUUGCAGGCUGAAAUGGACGGUGGCAGAGCAGGGCUGGAAGUGUGGCACUGUGAUCAUGCCGGAGAAUAAAUUUAAUCAUGAAGCAAAAGAGUAACGUAGA
ensembl:lncRNA